CCUACGGGAGGCAGCAGUAAGGAAUAUUGGUCAAUGGGCGAGAGCCUGAACCAGCCAAGUAGCGUGCAGGAUGACGGCCCUAUGGGUUGUAAACUGCUUUUAUAAGGGAAUAAAGUGAGCCUCGUGAGGCUUUUUGCAUGUACCUUAUGAAUAAGGACCGGCUAAUUCCGUGCCAGCAGCCGCGGUAAUAAGG
rnacentral:rRNA from 1 species